AGUCCUGGCUUAGUCAUCACAGCUGCAACCCAAAUGGAUUCCCAUUCGCCUUCCCAAUUGUUCCUCUUCCGUUUCUGAUGCUCAUGCUCCAACUUUAACACCCAAUAACGACUAUGGAGUGAAUGCAGCCCCAGAACCCAGGACAUACGAGAAGGACUGUAUGGAAAAGGCAAGCGAGUCCCUAAACACCGAAGAUACUACAAAAGACAUUCCGAAGAAAAACACCUCUGCGCUCUGAAAUGCAGCCAACAAACAGCUAAGUUCACACUGUGCAUCUGUACAGGAGACACUGAAUUCCUUAUAGUGGUUCCCCAGUCUCCUAUGGGGGGCAGUUGUUGACUGCAGGCAAGACUUUCAUCCACUUCUAAUUUAUUUCAACGUGGGAAACAAAAUAUCAGACUUACCAAAGUUUCACAUUCAUCUUGAGGUGUAGGCCACACUGGCCCAGGACUGGCCAUGUAGCACAGGCUCCCCUGAACACCUCCUCCUCCUGCCUCACCCUACUGAGUGCUAAACAUGGACUGCCAUACCUGGCUUAAGAUUU